AUUGAACGCUGGCGGCAGGCCUAACACAUGCAAGUCGAGCGGAUGACGGGAGCUUGCUCCUUGAUUCAGCGGCGGACGGGUGAGUAAUACCUAGGAAUCUGCCUGAUAGUGGGGGACAACGUUUCGAAAGGAACGCUAAUACCGCAUACGUCCUACGGGAGAAAGCAGGGGACCUUCGGGCCUUGCGCUAUCAGAUGAGCCUAGGUCGGAUUAGCUAGUUGGUGGGGUAAUGGCUCACCAAGGCGACGAUCCGUAACUGGUCUGAGAGGAUGAUCAGUCACACUGGAACUGAGACACGGUCCAGACUCCUACGGGAGGCAGCAGUGGGGAAUAUUGGACAAUGGGCGAAAGCCUGAUCCAGCCAUGCCGCGUGUGUGAAGAAGGUCUUCGGAUUGUAAAGCACUUUAAGUUGGGAGGAAGGGCAGUAAGCUAAUACCUUGCUGUUUUGACGUUACCGACAGAAUAAGCACCGGCUAACUCUGUGCCAGCCGCCGCGGUAAUAC
rnacentral:rRNA from 1 species